CACGUAGGGCGCAAGCGUUGUCCGGAAUUAUUGGGCGUAAAGAGCUCGUAGGCGGUCUGUUGCGUCUGCUGUGAAAACCCGGGGCUUAACCCCUGGCUUGCAGUGGAUACGGACAGACUAGAGGUAGGUAGGGGAGAAUGGAAUUCCCGGUGUAGCGGUGAAAUGCGUAGAGAUGUGGAGGAACACCGAUGGCGAAGGCAGCCCCCUGGGCUGAGAUUGACGCUCAGGCACGAAAGCGUGGGGAGCAAACAGG
rnacentral:rRNA from 1 species